UGGGGAAUUUUGGACAAUGGGGGAAACCCUGAUCCAGCCAUCCCGCGUGUGCGAUGAAGGCCUUCGGGUUGUAAAGCACUUUUGGCAGGAAAGAAACGUCAUGGGUUAAUACCCCGUGAAACUGACGGUACCUGCAGAAUAAGCACCGGCUAACUACGUGCCAGCAGCCGCGGUAAUACGUAGGGUGCAAGCGUUAAUCGGAAUUACUGGGCGUAAAGCGUGCGCAGGCGGUUCGGAAAGAAAGAUGUGAAAUCCCAGAGCUCAACUUUGGAACUGCAUUUUUAACUACCGGGCUAGAGUGUGUCAGAGGGAGGUGGAAUUCCGCGUGUAGCAGUGAAAUGCGUAGAUAUGCGGAGGAAAACCGAUGGCGAAGGCAGCCUCCUGGGAUAACACUGACGCUCAUGUACGAAAGCGUGGGGAGCAAACAGG
rnacentral:rRNA from 1 species